AAACGGUUGUUGGAAAAUAUGGGCGCAGCACCCACUUCAACGGGUCAAUGAUCGGAUUUUUUUUUUAAAUAAAAGAAACAAGUGCAAUUGACACGUAGCACUUAUAUAAAAUUAAAAAAAUAAUUAAUUUUGUUCUUCCUAUGUUAAUUAUACGAAAAAUAAAAUAAAAGAAAAACAAACUUCACAACUUGAUUUUCAAUAACCAGUAAAAAAUAAAACAACAUAAAUAAAACUAACCAAUCUCAAAUCAACUAGAUCAAAUUAAAAAUUAAAAA
rnacentral:lncRNA from 1 species